UGCUCCACAUUUAAUUAAUUACACUUAUAUAUACCAGCCCCAAACAUGUGCAUGUGAUGGAUAAAUCCACAUAAAAGUAUGCAAUGGCAGUGCUCUCGCGCCUAAGAUACCACCGUUAACAUAUCAGAGUAUUAUAUGUAAACGUGAUAUAAACAGAUUUUAUUAAUGAAAAGUUAAUAUAACGAACAGUAAUCAAUCUCAACUCCCAAAACGAGUACAAAAUACGGACUGAUCUAAUUAUAAUCAAGUAUGUAGCUAUUUUGUAAACAAAAGUUAAAGAGUAAAAUUGCUUCGUUUCUACAAUAUAGAACCACCCAGUUUCAAUAUUAAGUUAACUGUCUCUAAAUUCAUCUUUUACAGUAAGACAAAAGAAUGUUGUUCGAGCUACAGAAAAAUAAAAGGUGAAUGCAUUGAGUGUGUUGGUUUCUUCGGAGAUAAUUGCGAAAAACAAUGUGUGGAUGGAUAUUUCGGAAAAUCGUGUAGAGAGGCUUGUAACUGUACAAACUCAGAAACCUGUACUCAGUACGUCGGGUGCAUCGAAACCAAAAGUAAAAACAACAAAGAGGCAUGCCCGCUUGUUAGACUAAUGGUUCCUGCAAUAACGACUCUGCCUAUUCUAAGUUUCAUCAUGUGUUUUAUGAUCUGCUUAUAUAGAACACGAAGACAAGGAAAGUAUAAAGUGGACAACGCCAUGAAAAUGAAGUCAAUCCCACAGAAAAAGUCAGAAAACAUUCAGUUGAUUCGUUACAUCAGCAAUGCACACGAACAUAGACAAUACAGUGACAUCGAUAUUACGAAAUACAUGUAUAAUAGAGAAUUUGAAAAGCACGUGACACAUGACUACAGUCGAAUCAUAUUCCCUAAAUUUACGUCAGUGGAUAUCCCAGCAGACCAGUACAGUACGGCCAUAAUACGUAAUCCACAUGUACUGGGGGAUGGAGAAAGUGGAAGUAGCACAGACACUUCUGAUGGAGGAAAUAUGCAAGAACGUUUGAGACACCCCUCCACUGACCAACGUAGUGCACAAAACUCCAGACCUUAUAGUCUAGUUCACCCCGAAUGGAUUUGACGAAGUCUGAUUUUACCAUCUAGGUAUCUCUAUCGGGACUAGAAAGUUUAUGAUUAGACGAAGUCAGAGUUAUACAACUUUAUUAUUCAUUGUCAUCUCAUAUCGCUUUCAUCAUAUAUUUGUUAAAGACAUUGCAUUGGUCGAUUCGUUGUGCAUUUGUAUACAUUGAAUGAAUACUUAUGAUUUCUGAGGGCUUUUGGGAAACAUGUAUAUGAGUUAUACCAAUUCUACUCACUUUCGCUUAAAUCUACUUCGCUGGUAUUUGGAAUGAUGAAUAUUUUAAUUCUAGAGAGAAUUACCAAUCUUAUUAAAUGUAUCGUACCUAUAUUAGUCAUCAGGGACUUAGGGUUGUGAUCGAGGGACUUUCCUCAGACGCUAUCACAAAAAGUAGAUUGCUGUAAAGUAUCUAGUAUGAUUACUAUAUUAAAUGAAUUAUACAGUUAUUUAUCUUUGAUUUUCUUUUUUAAAUCUUUUUAAAAAUGCAAUUUUUGAAUGCUGUUUACAGACAAAUGUAUCACACGUUAGACGACAUUUAAGUAGUGAACAACCUAUGAAGUAUAUGUUGUACCCAAUAUUUACAAUAAGUAUACAUACAUUGGAAAUUGAACAACGUAAAUGAAUGGGAAAUAGAAGAAUAUGUAUAAUGCUUUCCAGUCGAUAAAUGGAUAAAUAUUACCCAGGGUAGGUGUAAAGUUUUGUCUGUUACAAUUUUAAUGAAUAUUGUAUUUACUAGUGUAGCCCUUACGAGUAAUUUAUCUUUGCUAAAGAUGAAUAUUUUUGAGCAUGUUAAUAUUUAGCGGCAGUGUGCUACUGUUUUGUAUUGUUUUGGAACAUACGAUCGUAGACAAAGUGAAAGUAGACCCACACGUGUGAAAAAUACAUUGAAUGUCUCAAAUAUUUACGAUGUCUUUUAUUGGAAUACUUGCACAGAUAUUAUAAUGUAUGCUUAAUCUAUUCAGGGAUUUAAUCUCGUUACGUAUUCAUUGUUAUUUUACCUGUUUCUUGUAAACACAUGUUGUUAGGCUGCAGACAGUUUUCGUUCUAUUUUUAAUGUCGGCGCAUUGCAUUAUGGUCUAUUUCCGCUUUACUUCUUUGAUCCGCCAAGAGAUAAUCUUGCAUUCACGGAUAGAAAGAAUAAUGAGUUUUAAGGUAAUUAAUUUAUUUUACAGUUACGAAUGAAUUAAACUUGUAUUCUUUUAAUAUGUUUUAUGAAAGUAACGUAAUGUUUUCUUGUUAAUAGUUAUCAGAACUAUUUUCCGUUGAUUUUCAACGGUCCGUUUAUCCGUUGAUUUAGAACGGAUUCCGUUGUAUUGUAACGGACCGUUUAGUAACGGCCUAAACGGGACUAUAUAAGCUCGUCAGCAUCGGUUGACGGGGACUUGGACAUUUUUCAGAUUUUUGAUUAGACGUAGGUUUUAUCUCUGAUUCAUUUAUUAAUUAAUCGAUCUUAUUUUUGAAUUUCCCUUCUUCAAGAAUCUAUUUCUUUAACUUAUUUAUUUCUAGUAUAAUCUUAGGGGAUAUAUGCAGCAUUUUUCUAAGCUAUUAUAUACUUUUGGUGUUUUUCAUCUAAGAUAAUAUUUUUAAGAUUGUGAAAUUUUUCUCUUAUUGUAAAUAAUGGUAUUAAUUUAUCAAUACUCUGAAUAAACCAUCAUCUC